rnacentral:rRNA from 1 species
GAUGAACGCUGGCGGCGUGCUUAACACAUGCAAGUCGAACGAUGACUUUUGUGCUUGCACAGAAUGAUUAGUGGCGAACGGGUGAGUAACACGUGAGUAACCUGCCCCUGACUCUGGGAUAAGCCUGGGAAACUGGGUCUAAUACCGGAUAUGCACCGUGGACCGCAUGGUUUUUGGUGGAAAGAUUUUUUGGUCAGGGAUGGACUCGCGGCCUAUCAGCUUGUUGGUGAGGUAAUGGCUCACCAAGGCGACGACGGGUAGCCGGCCUGAGAGGGUGACCGGCCACACUGGGACUGAGACACGGCCCAGACUCCUACGGGAGGCAGCAGUGGGGAAUAUUGCACAAUGGGCGAAAGCCUGAUGCAGCGACGCCGCGUGAGGGAUGACGGCCUUCGGGUUGUAAACCUCUUUCAGUAGGGAAGAAGCGAAAGUGACGGUACCUGCAGAAGAAGCGCCGGCUAACUACGUGCCAGCAGCCGCCGUAACAC